GUAAUUUUUAAUUACUGUGUUGGUUUUUGUAUUUAAUGUGUCAGUCUAUCAUAUCUUGACUUGGCAGCCAAUAUAUGUAUUUUUUUUUAACUUAAAUCUGGGAUGAAGGAAGCUGUAAAUGUGGUUUGCUUAACAGGUUCAAGUUAUUCUGCAUUGAUUUAAACAUAAAAUAGUGUUGGAACUACAUUUUAUCAACUGGAAAACUUCUGAAUUCUGGUUAAGCGUUUUGGUCCAGGUGAUAUUGGCUGCUUAAAGUGUACUUAAACACAGCUUGAACCGAUUUGGAUUCGUUAGUUUUCCUCUUCUGUCAACUCACUCCUCUGCCCUGAUUUGUAUUCCUGCCCUCUGGCACAACGUUUCUCAGAAAUCUCUCCUUCUCCUGCACCGUCAGGCCAGUGCCUUUGCUCUUUGAAAACACGUUGCGAUUUCUACAAAUCAUGGAGGGAAAUUACAAAAUCUUAAAAGCUAUUGCUCUGUUCCCUGUAUUAAAUAUUCGUAUUCUCACCCUUCUGUUUCCAUCCCCUCUCACAAGUAGUUCAGCCCAGACUGACGCACCUUCUGUCGGGGGGGGCUGAGAGCCCUGGCCUGCGUUCUCAGCAGAAUGAUGUGAAGUCCUGGCAACCUCUCACUGUCAUUUUAGGAGUGGAUCAGCUCUUUAAUGUUUUUUUUUAUAUAAAUACCGAAAUGAUCAUAGCUUUUAUACGUCAGUGCCUGCUGCAUUUGUUUUUUUUCCCUUAAACACCAACUCAAUGAACAGAUUUUUGCAAUUUGUAGCUGCUCAGUCAUUGUGUAUGGCUUUUUAAUCUCUAGAGGCCAGAUGGAAGCGUGAUCCUUCAGCAUUGCUUCUUUUGCAUAAUUUGGCUACAGGGGAAACUGUCAUGAACAAGUAAAUGCUAUGCCCUGAAAGAAGUCUUACGCAGAAGAAAACAGAUUUUGGUCAAGGAGACUUGAGAAAGAAGCUGACACUCAGGGGGUAAGUUUCUGAGACACGAUGACUUACCUUGGUUUCGGGGCACUGAUAAAAUUGCUGUUAGAUUGAUCUGGAAUGACGGCGUUUGGCUGGUUGUUUUUUUUUUUUUUUUUUUUUUUCUUCAGAAGCUUUAUUUCAAGCUCUACUACAAUCCUAACUUUGAUUUUAGUUGUAUUUAUGGAUUUAUCCUCUGCUGUCAGACUGCAAUCAAUUGAUUGAAAUCCAUAAAUAAUAAACAUCAAGUUUCAAUUUAAGACGCAGUAACAAGAUGCUAUUGGAAGAAGUUUUUUACGUACUUGAGCAGCUUUUUAUAGCUAACUCCCUCCAGACUCAAAUCCUGACACGUUCUUAGGGAGAGGAAGCUAAUGGCUUUCCCGCAUGUUUGUCGAGGCCCAUGUGACAAAUCCUACACGGCAACCGAAGGAGAGGACGCUCGCGCACCUGUUUGUGGAAGGGUUACAUAAAAAGUCCUGCGACAUAUUUUAGCAUCUACCAGUAAGAUGAGCAACUUGACCUGCUUUACCCUUCGUAGGACAUACGAUAUUAAAUUAACAACAAGAAAUAGGGGAGGAGGGGGGAAAAAAAAAGAAAAAAAAAAAAAGACAUACUAACAUGAAAAAACACAUUUUAUUGCACUUAAGUUAUAAGAAAAUAAAAUUUCUAAGUGAAUCAAACCAUAGACACAAUCCCUUUAAAGGUUGUUUUCCUCCAUCAUGUCAGGUUGUUACAUAACUAAAAUUAACCAACUGGAAUCUGAUUGUUUUAAAUCAGACUAUAAAUAAAACAAAAAAAAAAAAAAAAA